ensembl:miRNA Gm44363 predicted gene, 44363
UUUGUGUAUGUGUGUAUAUAUAUAUUCAUGUGUAUAUAUUCUCAUACACACACACACACACACACACACACACACACACACACACACACACACACAUGU